GGGCCCGCACAAGCGGUGGAGCAUGUGGUUUAAUUCGAUGAUACGCGAGGAACCUUACCAGGGCUUAAAUGUAAGUUGCAUAAAUCAGAGAUGAUUUUUUCUUCGGACUAUUUACAAGGUGCUGCAUGGUUGUCGUCAGCUCGUGCCGUGAGGUGUCAGGUUAAGUCCUAUAACGAGCGCAACCCCUGUCGUUAGUUGCCAUCAAGUAAUGUUGGGUACUCUAGCGAGACUGCCGGUGCAAACCGAGAGGAAGGUGGGGAUGACGUCAAAUCAUCACGGCCCUUACGUCCUGGCUACACACGUGCUACAAUGGCCGGUACAGAGAGCAGCCACUACGCGAGUAG
rnacentral:rRNA from 1 species